GACGAACGCUGGCGGCGUGCUUAACACAUGCAAGUCGAACGGAAAGGCCCUGCUCUUGUGGGGUGCUCGAGUGGCGAACGGGUGAGUAACACGUGAGUAACCUGCCCUUGACUUUGGGAUAACUUCAGGAAACUGGGGCUAAUACCGGAUAGGAGCUCCUGCUGCAUGGUGGGGGUUGGAAAGAUUCGGCGGUUGGGGAUGGACUCGCGGCUUAUCAGCUUGUUGGUGGGGUAGUGGCUUACCAAGGCUUUGACGGGUAGCCGGCCUGAGCGGGUGACCAGCCACAUUGGGACUGAGAUACGGCCCAGACUCCUACGGGAGGCAGCAGUGGGGAAUAUUGCACAAUGGGCGGAAGCCUGAUGCAGCAACGCCGCGUGCGGGAUGACGGCCUUCGAGUUGUAAACCGCUUUCGCCUGUGACGAAGCGUGAGUGACGGUAAUGGGUAAAGAAGCACCGGCUAACUACGUG
rnacentral:rRNA from 1 species